rnacentral:rRNA from 1 species
GAUGAACGCUGGCGGCGUGCUUAACACAUGCAAGUCGAGCGAACAGACGCUAAGCUUGCUUCUCGGAUGGUGGCCGCGGACGUGUGAGUAACGUGAGGAUACCCCACCUUUAAGACAGGGAUAACUUCGUGAAACCGGUGCUAAAACCGUAUUAUAUCUUCAUGCGCAUGGUUCAAAAGCUACAGCCGGUCUGGAUGUCAUUUCUAGAUGGAUCCGGGCUGCAUUAGUUGGUUGGUAGGGUAACGGCUUACGAAGGCGACGAUGCAUAGCCGACCAGAGAGGGUGAUCGCCCACACUGGAGGUGAGACACGGUCCUGAGUCCGACGGGAGGCAGCAGUAGGCAAGGUUGCGCAAUGGGCGGAAGCCUGACGGAGCAGCGCAGCGUGGGUGCAGAAAGUCUUCGGAUCGUAAAACUCUGUUAGUGGGGGAGAACGUAUUUAGAAGGAACGGAGCAUAUCGUGACGGUACCUGAAGAGGAAGCCCCGGCUAACUACGUG